rnacentral:rRNA from 1 species
CACCCAGGACGGUGGAUCACUCGGCUCGUGGGUCGAUGAAGAACGCAGCAAAUUGCGCGUCGACAUGUGAACUGCAGGACACAUGAACAUCGACGUUUCGAACGCACAUUGCGGUCCAUGAUUCCGUUCCCGGGCCACGUCUGGCUGAGGGUCG